rnacentral:rRNA from 1 species
AUUGAACGCUGGCGGCAGGCCUAACACAUGCAAGUCGAGCGGAGCGGCGGACGGGUGAGUAAUGCCUAGGCAUCUGCCUGGUAGUGGGGGAUAACGUCCGGAAACGGGCGCUAAUACCGCAUCCUCUCAGAUGAGCCUAGGUCGGAUUAGCGAGUUGGUGGGGUAAGGGCUUACCAAGGCGACGAUCCGUACCUGGUCUGAGAGGAUGAUCAGUCACACUGGAACUGAGAAACGGUCCAGACUCCUACGGGAGGCAGCAGUGGGGAAUAUUGGAAAAUGGGCGAAAGCCUGAUCCAGCCAUGCCGCGGGUGUGAAGAAGGUCUUCGGAUUGUAAAGCACUUUAAGGUGGGAGGCGGUACCAACAGAAUAAGCACCGGCUAACUUCGUGCCAGCAGCCGCGGUAAUAC